CUCUGUUGUUAGGGAAGAACAAGUGCUAGUUGAAUAAGCUGGCACCUUGACGGUACCUAACCAGAAAGCCACGGCUAACUACGUGCCAGCAGCCGCGGUAAUACGUAGGUGGCAAGCGUUAUCCGGAAUUAUUGGGCGUAAAGCGCGCGCAGGUGGUUUCUUAAGUCUGAUGUGAAAGCCCACGGCUCAACCGUGGAGGGUCAUUGGAAACUGGGAGACUUGAGUGCAGAAGAGGAAAGUGGAAUUCCAUGUGUAGCGGUGAAAUG
rnacentral:rRNA from 1 species